rnacentral:rRNA from 1 species
GACGAACGCUGGCGGCGUGCUUAACACAUGCAAGUCGAACGGAAAGGCCUCUUUCGGGGGGUACUCGAGUGGCGAACGGGUGAGUAACACGUGAGUAACCUGCCCUUGACUAUGGGAUAACUUCAGGAAACUGGGGCUAAUACCGGAUAGGAGCUCCUGCUGCAUGGUGGGGGUUGGAAAGUUUCGGCGGUUGGGGGUGGACUCGCGGCUUAUCAGCUUGUUGGUGGGGUAGUGGCUUACCAAGGCUUUGACGGGUAGCCGGCCUGAGAGGGUGACCGGCCACAUUGGGACUGAGAUACGGCCCAGACUCCUACGGGAGGCAGCAGUGGGGAAUAUUGCACAAUGGGUGGAAGCCUGAUGCAGCAACGCCGUGUGCGGGAUGACGGCCUUCGGGUUGUAAACCGCUUUCGCUCAUGACGAAGCUUUGUGUGACGGUAGUGGGUAAAGAAGCACCGGCUAACUACGUG